rnacentral:sRNA from 1 species
UUUUGAGACCAGACGACUGGACUCACCUCUUCCAACUCAAGUACCAGUCAGUGGCCCAGACCUGGAGGGCAAGCACCUUCAUCCCCAAGCUAUGAAAAUUCACUCCACUCCCUGAAAAAUCGAGUUGAGCAGCAACUUCACGAGCAUUUGCAAGAUGCAAUGUCCUUCUUAAAGGAUGUCUGUGAGCAGUCUCGAAUGGAGGAUCGUUUAGACAGACUGGAUGAUGCAAUCCAUGUGCUGCGGAACCAUGCUGUGGGACCUUCCACCAGUUUGCCUGCUGGUCACAGUGAUAUACACAGUUUAUUGGGACCAUCCCAUAAUGCACCAAUUGGAAGCCUCAACUCAAACUAUGGAGGAUCAAGCCUUGUUGCAAGCAGUCGAUCAGCUUCAAUGGUUGGAACUCAUCGGGAAGAUUCUGUCAGUCUUAAUGGCAAUCAUUCAGUCCUGUCUAGUACAGUCACUACGUCAAGCACAGACCUGAACCAUAAAACACAGGAAAAUUAUAGAGGUGGCUUGCAAAGUCAGUCUGGAACUGUUGUUACAACAGAAAUCAAGACUGAAAACAAAGAAAAGGAUGAAAACCUUCAUGAACCUCCUUCAUCAGAUGACAUGAAGUCAGAUGAUGAAUCCUCCCAAAAAGAUAUCAAGGUUUCAUCUAGAGGCAGAACAAGUACUAAUGAAGAUGAGGAUUUGAACCCUGAACAGAAAAUAGAAAGGGAGAAGGAGAGGCGGAUGGCUAACAAUGCCAGAGAACGCUUACGCGUGCGGGAUAUUAAUGAAGCAUUCAAAGAGCUUGGCCGAAUGUGUCAGCUUCACUUGAAGAGUGAAAAACCCCAA